GGGUUUGUAGCUCAGUGGUAAAGCAUUUGCCUCACAUGCAUGGGAGGCCCUGGGUUCGAUCCUCAGCACCA
rnacentral:tRNA from 1 species